rnacentral:rRNA from 1 species
CCACGGGCGGCAGCAGUGAGGAAUAUUGCUCAAUGGGGGAAACCCUGAAGCAGCAACGCCGCGUGGAGGAUGAAGGUUUUCGGAUUGUAAACUCCUUUUGUUAGAGAAGAUAAUGACGGUAUCUAACGAAUAAGCACCGGCUAACUCCGUGCCAGCAGCCGCGGUACUACGGAGGGUGCAAGCGUUACUCGGAAUCACUGGGCGUAAAGAGCUCGUAGGCGGGAUAGCAAGUCAGAUGUGAAAUCCUAUGGCUUAACCAUAGAACUGCAUUUGAACCUGUUAUUCUAGAGUAUGGGAGAGGUAGGUGGAAUUCUUGGUGUAGGGGUAAAAUCCGUAGAGAUCAAGAGGAAUACUCAUUGCGAAGGCGACCUGCGAGAACAUAACUGACGCUGAUGCGCGAAAGCGUGGGGAGCAAACAGGAUUAGAUACCCCUGUAGUC